CAGCAGCCGCGGGAAUACGGAGGGGGCUAGCGUUGUUCGGGAUUACUGGGCGUAAAGCGCACGUAGGCGGCUUGGUAAGUUAGAGGUGAAAGCCUGGAGCUCAACUCCUGAAUUGCCUUUAAGACUGCCGAGCUAGCAGGUGAGAGAGGUAAGUGGAAUUCCGAGUGUAGAGGUGAAAUUCGUAGAUAUUCGGAAGAACACCAGUGGCGGAGGCGGCUUACUGGCUCAUACUGGACGCUGAGGUGCGAAAGCGUGGGGAGCAAACAGGAUUAGAUACCCGGGUAGUCCCUGUCUCUUAUAA
rnacentral:rRNA from 1 species